rnacentral:tRNA from 5 species
GCGGGCGUAGCUCAGUUGGUAGAGCGCCACCCUUCCAAGGUGGAUGUCGCAAGUUCGAAUCUUGUCGCCCGCUCCA